rnacentral:rRNA from 1 species
AGGGUGUAAACGCUGCAGACUUGGUGUUGGAAGCCCUUUGGGGGCAUUCAGUGCCGGAGAGAAGUUGUUAAGUCUGCUACUUGGGGAGUACGUCCGCAAGGAUGAAACUUAAAGGAAUUGGCGGGGGAGCACCGCAACGGGAGGAGCGUGCGGUUUAAUUGGAUUCAACACCGUAAAACUCACCAGGGAAGACUGUUACAUGAAGGCCGAGAUGAAGACUCUGCUAGAUUUUCAGAGAGGAGGUGCAUGGCGUCAGUG